rnacentral:rRNA from 1 species
UACGGGGGGGGCAAGCGUUGUUCGGAAUUACUGGGCGUAAAGGGCUCGUAGGCGGUUUGUCGCGUCGGGAGUGAAAACCUUGGGCUUAACUCAGGGCUUGCUUUCGAUACGGGCAGACUAGAGGUAUGCAGGGGAGAACGGAAUUCCUGGUGUAGCGGUGAAAUGCGCAGAUAUCAGGAGGAACACCGGUGGCGAAGGCGGUUCUCUGGGCAUGAUCUGACGCUGAGGAGCGAAAGUGUGGGGAGCGAACAGG